AUUGAACGCUGGCGGCAUGCCUUACACAUGCAAGUCGAACGGCAGCGCGGGGCAACUUGGCGGCGAGUGGCGAACGGGUGAGUAAUAUAUCGGAACGUGCCCUGGAGUGGGGGAUAACGUAGCGAAAGUUACGCUAAUACCGCAUACGAUCUCAGGAUGAAAGCAGGGGACCUUCGGGCCUUGUGCUCCUGGAGCGGCCGAUAUCUGAUUAGCUAGUUGGUGGGGUAAAAGCCUACCAAGGCGACGAUCAGUAGCUGGUCUGAGAGGACGACCAGCCACACUGGAACUGAGACACGGUCCAGACUCCUACGGGAGGCAGCAGUGGGGAAUUUUGGACAAUGGGGGCAACCCUGAUCCAGCAAUGCCGCGUGUGUGAAGAAGGCC
rnacentral:rRNA from 1 species